ACACACUAUAUGCUAAGUAGAAUAGUGUUUACAUGGGGAAGAUUUUGUAUGACAUUUUCAGUACACUGUCAACAACUGCGUUCAUGAACUUAUUUGGGGGGUAUGAGGAUGAGCAGGGGACCUUUUUAAAAAAAAUAAAAAAUAAAAAUAUAUAUAAUUUUUUUUAAUUUUUUUUUUAUAUUAUUUAAUGUUUCUUAACACUUUGCUGAUGGUCAGUGACCUUUCACAGCCAAAGUUGCAAGCAGUUUAAUGUUUUCGAAUACAUCAUUCUAUAAAAGAAUGGCGUAUUGAUAGUCCCCACAGAUUGGUGGUGCAAUUAUUCAAUUUACUACUACCAGAAGGACACUGAAGGGCUGCAGACCCAGCUUAGCCACUUGUGCAAGAAACUUAUUGAUUAAAACCGCGUGUUUGCGUGAACCGAAAACAAAGGUUCAGAAAUUAGGCCAAAGUAACAGAAUCGGAGAACUGGACUGCUGGACUGAGCAAAAACAUAAUUGCUGAAAAUAUAUACUUCAAACACUCUUACUUUGACCUAACUCACUGUAACUCUGUUUAAUUUAUAAGCCCCCCAGAUGUUAACAGAAUGCCCUGCUUUUUUCUGUCUUGCAAGUUAGAAAUUCCAAGUUACAAUGCAUUUUUCAUUUAAGCAUGUAUGCAUUGAGGGAAACAGCGUCUUCACAAAUAGUUCAAUUUAUUUGCUGUUUUGUGGAUGUACUUUAAAGCUUCUGAAUGUAUUUAUGUUUUUUCUGCUUUGCGGCAAACACAUUACACAAAGAUUUAACUUGGUGGCCGUCCACAGUUUUAAGUAGCACCCAUUUUUAUUUAUGUUGCUGCAAAAUGUUUUUCGACUCUGGGCAGUGAUCUAUACUAAGGGAGACACAUAUGGGUCAAAGGUUUAUUAACUAGACAGGGAGUUGUGAUUGUGAUACAGACAGUUGACUUUAAACCAAAAUGGGAAAUUAACAUCAAAAAUUAAAAUUUUUUUUAAUCAACUGGAAAGUCCGUUAAUUAUUCUAACCUAGCCUCUUCUGCAAGUCUGCUGUAAAACGACAGUUUAGUGAAUAAACCCUUAACUCAUGAUAUUUUGUCUGAAUCAAAGUUGCAUCUUGCCAAACAUGUGACCAGUUUUUAUUUCUAGCUCCAAUGUUCGCUGACUUUAGUCACAGAUGAAGAUUGUAAAUGUGGUUUUUAAAAGGAAAACACAUAUAUUACUUGUAAUAUAUCACAUCGGAUACACAGGGAAUGAAGUAGGUGUCCUAACAUUCCCAGAUUGGUCUCCUAAAACAAGCCUCUGUUUUAUCACCCUCUACAAACCCAACAGUUGUGACCUUUGUUUUGGGAUGAGCUUCCUACAAGACAGAAUUGGCAUAAUAUCAACGCAGAGACGUUAGAUCACUCAAUCUGUAGCAUCAACGAUAAAGUUCUAGAUUCAGUAAAACCCCAAUUGUGGCCAUACUGAUUAAGCAACAUCCUUGAUCUAUAACAAAACAGUAUAUUAGUUUCCUUUAUGAUCACAACCAAAUGUCACCUUCAUUUGAUUUCAGACUGUGACAAAGUGUUUCAUCAACCCUUAAACCACCAUAGGGGUAGUUUACUCAAUGCCUGCGGCAAAAGGAUUUGAAAUAAACCCAAUUAAGGAAAAAUAAUUUUUAAAAAAUUAAUUUUUUUUACCAUGUUACCAAAAUUUAAAAUGUAAUUUUUUUAAUCAAAUGUAUAUAAACUUUAGAUAAAGUAUUUUAUUUGAUUUUAAUCUGCUAAGCUGUUAGUGACUUUGAACAGAUAAUGACAGCCCAGCAAUAAAUGUGUGCACUAUAAGAGAGAAAUGCUAGCAAACAUAUAGCCAAAUUAUGGGGUUAUUUUAAACCCAUUUACUGUCAGGGGAACAUACUGAAGCUUGCAGCUCCCACUGGCAGCAAGGGGGUUAACUAAUUGCUUGCAUUUAAUUGAAGGAAUUAUACAUACAAAUACUCAAAUUUUUACACAUUGAAUGGUAUUUAAAAUGAAAUUUGUACUAUUUGGGUGUAAUAGGGAUACUUUAAACUUUACAUUUAUUUUCCUCUCUGGCCCCUGACAAAUCCUUGCUUUCUUAAAGAAACCAAAAAAGUUCUAUGUUUCUGUUUAUUUUUAUAGACAUUUUUGUUAUUUUUAAAUAUAUUCCUCUGCAUUUUUUUUUUUUUUUUAAAUCAUGAAAAUUGUUCCUAAUAUAGCACUUAAUAUAUUGGAGAGAGAGAAAAAAAAGUCAAGAAUGGGGUAAAGUUCUGCUCAGACUUGUCCCUUUAGCAUUUAGCAAAUAGCUUUAACAUUUAGGGCCCAGAAAAAAAUGUAAGAAUUCUGAGCCAAAAUGCAUAGGCAGAAACCGAAACCUAAACCGCAGAGAAUUUUUUUUCUAAAAAAAAAAAAAAGCAAAACAAAGAAAAAAAGUUUAUAUAGAGGAAAAAAAAUACAACAUUGAUGGCUAUUUAAUACUUAUAUGAAAUGGGGGAUAUACAACAUAAUAUUGGUGUCUUCUAUAAAUAAUGUUCUUUUUGACAGUUUAAUGCAGCUUAUUUUUUUAUUUUAUUUUUUGCUAUUUGUCCUUGAUAUUUUGUUUUUAUAUAUUUUUUUUUUACCUCAUUGUUACCUUUUUUUCUCUGCCAGAGAGACUGCAACAUAUUUGCAUUUUCAAAACGCUCUGGUUUUGAAUUUUUUUUUUUUUGACUUGAACAAAACUCUGAAUGAAACUUGUCUUGAUACAUAACUACAUGUCAUGCACUUUAUAUUCUGUUCUAUAUUUUUUUUUAUUUUAGAAUACAUACAUUUCAUUAAAAUAUAAGAUUUAGGGAAAGAAAGGUGUGUUGGGGGGUGGGGGGUUGUUGGGUUUAAUGUAUAUGCAUAAAUAUAUACAAUUCUCUUUUAUACCUUGUCGAGACAAAGCAAGAUAUUUAAAGUUCUUCCGCCUACUACUUCAUUUCUAUUGGGAUGAAUGACAAAAUAAUGGCACCUAAUAUUUUUAUCCUUUAUAGAAAUGACCCAGAAAUGUAAAAUACCUUUUUCAUACGUCUAGUGGUGAACUUCCACAUAGAUGUGAUGCCAUUUAAUGCUCCCAUAAUGACCCUCAUUUUAUAUUGUGAUGAUGUUUUCUCUUGGUUUAUACUCCUAAAUACAGUUGUUGAUCUGGUGAGAAUUGGAGAGAGAAACUAUCCCUGUUGUUCUUUCUCCAGAUAUCCGAAGGCAAAUGCCUAAGAGCCUUUUUUGUGUUCCCAACUGUUUCUUGAGUUGAGGAAUGGUAUAAGAGUAAAACACAUGCUUAUGUUAUGGGGAAGGACAUUUUGCAACACUCAAGAUUCUUAGUGUAACACUUUUCAUUGCUGUUAGUGUGUGUGGACAUACUAGAUAUUAGAUUUUGUAUUCGUUUGUUGCAUUUUCCUUGUGCAUACUCUUAUUUUCCUAGGAAGUGGUAUAAUAUUAGGCUAGAGGUGGCCAAUCAUUUCUCCCCAGUUCCAUAUGUUGAAAGGCAAAGGAGACUGGAACAUUUAUCCCAACAACUAAAGGUUCAGCACCUUUUAUGAAGUUGUGAAAGUCCAGCUAUAAAUUGUAAUUAUCACAUAUUGUUGAAAAAAAACACAAACACCUCUUCCUAUUUUAAAUAGAUAUGAAUUUUAAAGACUUUUGUAUAGGCAUGGAAACCACCUUUACAUAUAGAUUUUGUAAAAGUUGCAAGAUGUCCUUUCAUGUUGGAGAAGCUUACGUUUAUAGUGCUAGUUUCCAUUUAAGAAACGUUUGUCUUAAUACUUGUGUUUUUAUUCUUUUUUUUUUUUUUAAGCUCUUGUUUCUACCAAUCAUAAUUUACAAUUGAAAGGAUUUUCACAAGUACCCCAUGAGCCUAUUACAGAACUUGUAACUAGCCUGUCUUUAAUGGAUGUUUUAUUUGGAUUUAUUUUAUUUUUUAAGCAGAAAGUUAAAGCAUACAUGAUGUUGCACAACUUGUAGAAAACAAAGAAGGGAAGGGUUAAUGUAUUAAAUGUGCUGAUUUGACAUUAAAAACUUAAUUUUAUUAAAGUAUUAUUACUUAA